ACCUCAUCCCCAACCAUGGCUUUGAUGCCUCUUAUCUUGGCUAUCCUUUCAUCUUCCUUUACGGGAACUUUUUCUGAAGUUGUCCUCACUCAACCAGAAUCUGUGUCUGGAUCUCCUGGAGGAACAAUCCGAAUCACUUGUACUAAAAACAGUGGAACACUUGACACAGGGGAUUCCUCCUGGUAUCAACAGAAGCCAGGAAAUGCCCCCAAACUCAUUAUAUAUGGGGACAGCAGCAGACCCUCUGGAAUCUCAGAACGGUUUUCCGGUUCUAUUGAAAACUCUCAAACAUCUGCUGUGUUAACCAUCUCCAAUCUUCAGGCAGAGGAUGAAGCUGAUUAUUAUUGCCUGUAUUAUGUAGGUGGAGGGAAGUGCACAAUGAUACAAUCCUAUUGA